UGAGAGUGGCCUAAUGUGUUGCGACA
rnacentral:piRNA from 1 species